rnacentral:rRNA from 1 species
CCUACGGGUGGCAGCAGUGAGGAAUAUUGGUCAAUGGCCGGAAGGCUGAACCAGCCAUGCCGCGUGAAUGUCAGUGCCCUUUGGGCGUUAAACUUCUUUUGUGCGGGAGCAAUAAUGGUCACGUGUGGCCAGACGAGAGUACCGUACGAAUAAGCAUCGGCUAACUCCGUGCCAGCAGCCGCGGUAAUAAGGGGGAUGCAAGCGUUAUCCGGAUUUAUUGUGUUUAAGGGGUGCGUAGGCUGUGAGGUAAGUCAGCGGUGAAAUGCCCCCGCUCAACGGGGUGAAGUGCCAUUGAUACUGGCUUGCUGGAAUGCGGAUGCGGUGGGAGGAAUGUGUGGUGUAGCGGUGAAAUGCAUAGAUAUCACACAGAACACCGAUUGCGAAGGCAGCUCACGAAUCCGCGAUUGACGCUGAUGCACGAAAGCGUGGGUAUCAAACAGGAUUAGAUACCCUAGUAGUC